rnacentral:tRNA from 1 species
UCCCUGAUAGCUCAGUUGGUAGAGAAUCUGCCUGCAAUGUAGGAAACCCCAGUUCGAUUCUGGGUUAGGAAG